rnacentral:rRNA from 1 species
AGAGUUUGAUCCUGGCUCAGAUUGAACGCUGGCGGCAUGCCUUACACAUGCAAGUCGAACGGUAACAGGGAGCUUGCUCUGCUGACGAGUGGCGAACGGGUGAGUAAUAUAUCGGAACGUGCCCUGGAGUGGGGGAUAACUAGUCGAAAGAUUAGCUAAUACCGCAUACGAUCUCAGGAUGAAAGUGGGGGAUUCGCAAGGACCUCAUGCUCGUGGAGCGGCCGAUAUCUGAUUAGCUAGUUGGUAGGGUAAAAGCCUACCAAGGCAUCGAUCAGUAGCUGGUCUGAGAGGACGACCAGCCACACUGGGACUGGGACACGGCCCAGACUCCUACGGGAGGCAGCAGUGGGGAAUUUUGGACAAUGGGCGCAAGCCUGAUCCAGCAAUGCCGCGUGAGUGAAGAAGGCCUUCGGGUUGUAAAGCUCUUUUGUCAGGGAAGAAACGGUUUGGCUUAAUACGCUGAGCUAAUGACGGUACCUGAAGAAUAAGCACCGGCUAACUACGUGCCAGCAGCCGCGGUAAUACGUAGGGUGCAAGCGUUAAUCGGAAUUACUGGGCGUAAAGCGUACGCAGGCGGUUAUGUAAGACAGAUGUGAAAUGCCCGGGCUUAACCUGGGAACUGCAUUUGUGACUGCAUGGCUAGAGUGUGUCAGAGGGGGGUAGAAUUCCACGUGUAGCAGUGAAAUGCGUAGAUAUGUGGAGGAAUACCGAUGGCGAAGGCAGCCCCCUGGGAUAACACUGACGCUCAUGCACGAAAGCGUGGGGAGCAAACAGGAUUAGAUACCCUGGUAGUCCACGCCCUAAACGAUGUCUACUAGUUGUCGGGUCUUAAUUGACUUGGUAACGCAGCUAACGCGUGAAGUAGACCGCCUGGGGAGUACGGUCGCAAGAUUAAAACUCAAAGGAAUUGACGGGGACCCGCACAAGCGGUGGAUGAUGUGGAUUAAUUCGAUGCAACGCGAAAAACCUUACCUACCCUUGACAUGUCAGAGAGCUCGAAGAGAUUUGAGUGUGCUCGAAAGAGAAUCUGAACACAGGUGCUGCAUGGCUGUCGUCAGCUCGUGUCGUGAGAUGUUGGGUUAAGUCCCGCAACGAGCGCAACCCUUGUCAUUAGUUGCUACGAAAGGGCACUCUAAUGAGACUGCCGGUGACAAACCGGAGGAAGGUGGGGAUGACGUCAAGUCCUCAUGGCCCUUAUGGGUAGGGCUUCACACGUCAUACAAUGGUACAUACAGAGGGCUGCCAACCCGCGAGGGGGAGCUAAUCCCAGAAAGUGUAUCGUAGUCCGGAUUGGAGUCUGCAACUCGACUCCAUGAAGUUGGAAUCGCUAGUAAUCGCGGAUCAGCAUGUCGCGGUGAAUACGUUCCCGGGUCUUGUACACACCGCCCGUCACACCAUGGGAGCGGGUUUUACCAGAAGUAGGUAGCCUAACCGCAAGGAGGGCGCUUACCACGGUAGGAUUCGUGACUGGGGUGAAGUCGUAACAAGGUA